AUACGGAGGGUGCAAGCGUUGUUCGGAAUCACUGGGCGUAAAGGGCGCGCAGGCGGUUUGGUAAGUCAGAUGUGAAAGCCCACGGCUCAACCGUGGAAGUGCAUUUGAAACUGUCAGACUUGAGUACUAGAGGGGAAAGUGGAAUUCCCGGUGUAGAGGUGAAAUUCGUAGAUAUCGGGAGGAAUACCGGUGGCGAAGGCGACUUUCUGGCUAGAUACUGACGCUGAGGCGCGAAAGCGUGGGGAGCAAACAGGAUUAGAUACCCGUGUAGUCC
rnacentral:rRNA from 1 species